AUUGAACGCUGGCGGCAGGCUUAACACAUGCAAGUCGAACGAGUGGCGGACGGGUGAGUAAUGUCUGGGAAACUGCCUGAUGGAGGGGGAUAACUACUGGAAACGGUAGCUAAUACCGCAUACCAUCAGAUGUGCCCAAAUGGGAUUAGCUAGUUGGUGGGGUAACGGCUCACCAAGUCGACGAUCCCUAGCUGGUCUGAGAGGAUGACCAGCCACACUGGAACUGAGACACGGUCCAGACUCCUACGGGAGGCAGCAGUGGGGAAUAUUGCACAAUGGGCGAAAGCCUGAGGCAGCCAUGCCGCGUGUAUGAAGAAGGCCUUCGGGUUGUAAAGUACUUUCAGUGGGGAGGCGUUACCCGCAGAAGAAGCACCGGCUAACUCCGUGCCAGCAGCCGCGGUAAUUC
rnacentral:rRNA from 1 species